rnacentral:misc_RNA from 1 species
GAAAUGCGAUAAGUAAUGUGAAUUGCAGAAUUCAGUGAAUCAUCGAAUCUUUGAACGCACCUUGCGCUCCUUGGUAUUCCUUGGAGCAUGCCUGUUUGAGUAUCAUGAAAUCUUCAAAGUAAAUCUUUUGUUAACUCAAUUGGUUUCUACUUUGGUAUUGGAGGUCUUUGCAGCUUCACACCUGCUCCUCUUUGUUCAUUAGCUGGAUCUCAGUGUUAUGCUUGGUUCUACUCGGCGUGAUAAGUUAUCUAUCGCUGAGGACACUGUAAAAGGUGGCCAAGGUAAAUGCAGAUGAACCGCUUCUAAUAGUCCAUUGACUUGGACAAUACUUUUAUGAUCUGAUCUCAAAUCAGGUAGAACUACCCGCUGAACUUAAGC